rnacentral:lncRNA from 1 species
AAUGGUUCAUGUGGAAACACAUGAACCUUCAUCACAUACAUAUCACAUAAACAUAUCUCAUGGCAUAUCAUACUUUCAUGCAAGACAGGACUCUACAUCCUAUCCUAGUGGACAUGAUUUCCUAUUGUGCUUGACCUUUCUAUAACAUCUAUGAGCCCGACACUCUAGGUCCGACCAUAUGAACCUAGGGCUCUGAUACCAUUCUGUAACGACCCGGAAACCGGACCGCUACUGGCGCUAGGAUUCAGGUCGGCUUAAGGCCGCCAGAACCCGUAGCAAGCCAAACAUACAUCUUGUGAACCUGUUCAAUCCCAUACAUGAACCAAAACAUACAUAAAAAUUAAAACUUUUCUUUCAUUCAAACAUUUCUUUACCCAGCC